AGGGUUGUGGCUCAGUGGUAGAGAACUUGCCUAUCAUGCAUGUGGCACUGGGUUCAAUCCUCAGCACCACAU
rfam:Ictidomys tridecemlineatus contig041696, whole genome shotgun sequence.